UGGCGUUGAUAUAUCAUACCUAUUGCAACAGUAAAAUCAUUAUUAGUUUGAGUAGACUUUGACUUUGAAAAAACGUUGCUAUAGAAACCUAUGGCAACAGUUUUACAUUAUAAUAAUUAUUUUUUAUUUCACAAAUUUUUUGAUAGGAUAUUGCAACAGUUUUGUUAGUCAAACAUUUAAAACUAGUUAAAAAUAAAAAAUAAAAAAAGUAACAAAUUAGGUUUAUUAACAAUUUCAAUAUAGCGCAAUUUUUUUUGGUUUUCACUCGUCACUUUUUUCACGGAUUUUGUUUCACCCAGAAGUCCAGAACCCUUUACACUCUGUUCCUGCCUCUUCGUUCUCACGUUAUACGUUCUCUCUCGCCGCCAUCGUCGUUGUGUUUGAGCUCUUCAUCAUCAUUUCUUCAAGUAGGCGAAUUGAAGAUUGAUUUUUCUGAAUUUGCUAUUGGGACUCUGAAUUGGCGAUACAUAGAAAUUUGCAAAUUGCGUUUCUAAAUUAGCGAGAAGAACAAGGAUGGUGCAUAUAGUCAAGAAGUACGAGCUACUUUAAAUAUGUGGAGAUUCAUAGGGCUUUUGGCACAUAAAUAUUAGACAGGUUUUAAAAAAUAAAGCUAACGUAUAGUGAUUAUUGCAGGAUUUUUUAAUUUUAAUGGAGGUAGUUUUAGAACCAAUAUUUUUUUGAACUAUUCAAACAAUUGUAAUAGAUAUAUAUUAUGCUUA